CGGACGGGUGAGUAACGCGUGGAAAACCUGCCGUAUACUGGGGGAUAACACUUAGAAAUAGGUGCUGAUACCGCAUAAGCGCACAGCUUCGCAUGAAGCGGUGUGAAAAACUCUGGUGGUAUACGAUGGUUCCGCGUCUGAUUAGCUAGUUGGUGGGGUAAUGGCCUACCAAGGCAACGAUCAGUAGCCGGCCUGAGAGGGUGAACGGCCACAUUGGGACUGAGACACGGCCCAAACUCCUACGGAAGGCAGCAG
rnacentral:rRNA from 1 species